rnacentral:rRNA from 1 species
GAUGAACGCUGGCGGCAUGCCUAACACAUGCAAGUCGAACGGCAAGACGUUUAGCUCGUGCCCUUACGGUUAGCGACGGGCGGGCGGGUGACGCAUGGAUCGGAAUCUAAUUUGUCGUGGGUGACUACGUAGGGCAACUUCCACUACCACCUCAUACAAUCUACGGGUGGAAGCAGUAGAUCUUGAUACCUUGGUUGUUUCUUUUAGCCGGUGUCGGAUUAGCUAGUUGGCGGGGUAACGUCACGCCAAGGCGACGCACCGUAGCUGAUCCGAGAGGAUGAUCGGCCACACUGGAACUGAGACACGGUCCAGACUCCUACGGGAGGCAGCAGUAGGGAAUAUUGGGAAAUGGGCGAAAGCCUGAUCCAGCAAUGCCGCGUGGGUGAAGAAGGCAUUCGGGUUGUAAAGCCCUUUUAUUAGGAAAGAAAAACUGCGGGUGAAGAAGCAGAUGUAAUGACGGUACCUAAAGAAUAAGCACCGGCUAACUACGUG